GGGUUGGAAGAGACCUUUAGAACAGCUGGUUGUUAUGCCAACCGGGUGUCUGCACUAAGUUCGGCAUCAAUAUGAUGACCUCCUGGGAGCAGGGGGCCACCAGGUUGCCUAAGGAUGAGUGAACUGGCCCAGAUCAGAAAGGGAGCAGGUCAGAACUCCCGCACCAACCGGUAGUGUGACUGUGCCUGGGCAAUAUAGAAUAU
rnacentral:sRNA from 1 species